AGGGCUUCAGGCAGAAGGAGAGAACAAGAAGAGAGAAAUGAACGAUUGUUACUCGGACUGUGUGCAAGUGGCAGGAGGCAUCUGCCAUCACCAUGGCACAAAAUCACAGGGUUCACAGGGCUGCAAUUCCUUGCCAGGACUACCCGAGUGCAAACUCUAGUAAACAUAUUUGUAAGGUGCCUUUUGAAAGUGUGCUUAUUAAAAGCUCAGAUGCAGAUGAUUGCCAGCACUUUGGUGCAGGGAUUGAAGUUUACUCUCAAAGUAACUGCAACAAAGAAGUCCCUCUGCAACAACUAUUUGUUGUUUUUUGUGUAUAUAUAUAUAUAUAUAUAUAAAAAUUUUGUCUAUACCUCAUAGUUCUUGUUGAAUUAUUGUUAAAAAUUGAAUGAAAAUAUGUAGAAAGAAGCCAUGAUUCAAACCUCAUAAAAGGUACUCUUCUGUCUAUUACAGUUUUACAAGUGCUGCUACCUGUUUGAGCAAUUCUGAAGAGACAGUUGCUUGACUCUUGGGAGGAUCUGAGCUCCUCUCUAUUAUUUUUACAAGGCUGAGCAUUGCCAAUUAGCUUCAUUACACAGUUGCUGUGUGGGAACAGGAUGUAUUUAAAAAUUAUUUCAGAUAAAAUGGAGGCUGUGUUUACAAUGCUCUUUUUGAUCUGCCAUGUUAUGAAAGUGGGGAUGUGGAUUUAGAUGCUGCAUAUAAAUAAGGUAAAAGAUUAUAGAUCAGACCUUUGGUUCCUUAGGAGGUAAGAGACAAAUGACUGCAAAUUCAGCAUAAAUUGCAAACAGAUAAUAAUAGUUAUUUGCAUAUUUCAGGUAAUUCACUUUAUUUAGUCUGAUUUGUUGGAUUUGUUUCAUUUUAUCUUGACAGAACACUUGGUAAAUACCAUACCUUUCCUCGCAGUUUGGAAUACCCUCUGCUUGGAGUUCAUGAGAUGUUCUCCUUGCUCUCUCUUCAUCUUGAUUUCUAACAGUAAGACUGCAAGGUAGCAAACAAAAUUUUAGCCAGCUUCAUAGAGGAAAAGGCUGAAUGUACAGCAGAUGCUUUUCCUCUGAUAUUAAAAAAAAAAAAAUCAGCUAAAAGGACAGAAGCUAACAGUAGCCACAUUACUCAUAGUUAUGCUCUGACAUUAAUUUUACAGUUGUAUAAACCUGGAAAACUUUAAUGUAGCUGAAUGCUGUUCAGUAAUGUAUCGUGUAGACUUUCUAUACAGAGGUCAUAAAUUCAUAGAAUUUCUCAGGUUGGAAGGGACCCAUAAAGAUCAUUGAGUCCAAUUGUCUGUAUGUAUGUGUACGUGAGUAUAUCUGUAUAUAUAUAUGGGGUAUAUAUGUAUACAUGUGUACCUUAUCAGAUACCAAAUCUAUUCUCCAUUGAUACUUAUUAUACUGUGUAUGCUCAAUGGAAUGUUUUAACUUAAGUUAGGCUUUAUGCACUGGUUUUAUGUGAGUUAGAUGCUAAGGUUGGUUGGUUUGGGUUUGGUUUGUUUCCUCCUCACCCCCCCGCCCCCAGCUUCCCUAUUUUUAAUAUCCAUAGGGCACAAUGAGGGCCAAGGCUGUGGGUUAGAGAGGUGAUACCAUGUUACAAGAAAGCCAGGGUUCAGAAGAUGGAGCCCAGGUUUUAAGCAAGCCAGACACUUCUGUAUGGGAUGUUGGGAGCAUAAGCAUAUUUCAGAGUUCAGAUGUAGAUACAGCCAUUGUCUGGUAAUUGAUUGCAACUAAGGAAGUAUUAGCAUAUGCUUCAAAAUGUGAGGCCUGGAGCACAAAGAACAGAUACAUGGCUGCCGAAUAUUGUUUUGAGUAUGUCUGACUGGAAAUGAGUAUUAGAUUGUUUGUAGCAUUACAAUAAAGAUAAUGUCUUCUGCAGUCACUAGUAAUCGCUGAGAGUUUUUCAUGUCCCAUGGAAGAGUAGCUGUCAACUUCUGUUGCUUUCAUCACAUGUUAGUUUAAUUAACUCUAGUUUUUAAAAAUUCCUUUUGUAGUUGCAGAUGAUUUGUUUUCAUUUGAGACUGGAUUUGCGAGUAUGCAUACUUCUUUCUAGGGAAUGGGGACUAUGUUCCAGUUCGUAGGCUGUCAUAGUUUAGUGAAAAAUGCACGUGCAUACACACACACAUUCAUACACUCUGUAAAGCUGCUUAAAAUUUGUCAAGAGAAGGUCCUGGUGAAUUAUAACCUGUAAUUUAUAUGAAAUAGGUCCUCCAGCUGAUACAAUGCAAUACAGUUGUUAUAACUUGUAGGAAAAUAUAAAUGUUUCUUCAUUUGUAUCGUGUCUGUCUUUAAUGCUAAUGUUGUAACAGUUUUGUUGCCUUAAUUCUUAAGAAUCUCAUUUAUCUGUAGUAAGGCUUUUUGUUGAUCCGGUUGAUUUUUCUGUCCUUUCUGCCUUCUGUACUUUUGACUUUGCCUUACUUCCAGCCUUACUAUUUACUGGUUAUCUCCUUCUCUUGUUUUCUCUAGUGUUAGUCCAUAAUCUGCAGAGACCCGCUUUUCUGUUUGCCAAGGCAGUCCAUGCAUUGAAGAGGGAGGGAAGCUUUCUAAUACAGAGAGCAGAUAAUUGCAAACGCUUUUUUUUUCUUUUUUUCUGCAACAUCUGAAGCAUACAUUCAAACCAAUGAAGUAUUUCAGUUCACCUUUUCAGAUAAAAAUGGUAGUUAAUGUUAGUUCUCUAUUCUUUUGAGGUGUAUAGGUCUCAAUCCUUUACUACACUUUUUACCAGCGGCCUUUUUUAAUAUGAAAAGUAAUUCAUUACAUAUUCCUCACACACAGACAAGAAGUGAUAUGCUUGUCAGAGUUACUUUUGGAUUGAGGGGAACCAACAGAUCCAACAGAAAGGAUUAUAGUCUUCAUAGGGUAAUGCACAAAAGGGGAAAAAGAGAAAAGAAAUAACAAACGCUUUCUUAAGAGAACAUGCCGUGCCUCAGAAAAUGACUUGCAGGCAGACUCUUUCCCUAGAAAUGUACAGGUAAACAGUAGAAAGGGACUAGUGCCAAUACUGCAUCUUCUCAUGCUUCUUCUCAGGAUCUGGAAGAGUAACAUGCUGGAGGCUUGAGUUCUGGCUCGGAAUGAGCACAGGUUCUGAGCAUCCAGCUGAGAGACUCAUUUCACCAUUUUUUUUCAUUCUGAAUCUACUAUUAAGAGUAUGCUGAUUAUUGGAUGUUCAGCAACUCAGCUGCAUGACUCAUGUAGACUGUUAUUUUUGUUCCUAUUCAUAACUUUUCUGUUCAAAGUACUUGAGCUAUUUUGAGGAAAGGCUCUAUGAAUAGGGAAUAUAAAUAGCUUAAUUACAGUUUGUUUUGCAUUUCUUGUUACUAGAAAACAAUUGUUCUCAAAAAAACCCCCACCAGAAAAUACUUUAAAGCUCAAACAAGCUGCUCUGUUUUGGAGCCUGUACUGGUUUCCUAGAUGAUUCUGAAAUGCAAAUAGGAAUUCUAAGCAUCGUGAAAUUUGUGUACUAUCACAUACCCUAUGGAGUAAAUUGCUCCCUUUGAAUUGUUUGAAUAGUGAGGUGCACAGAAAAUGAGCAUCCUGGAAAAUAACAGGUAAAAUGCUGCACUUUAUCAGCAAUUUAAAAGAUAAAAUGCAAAUUUUAUGUAAUCAGUGGGAUAAGCGCCUUAUUUUUUUUUCCUUUUAUGGAAAGAUGUGUUGUUUGUGUAAUGCAGCUCUAGACUGAGCCACUUGUGAUUGCACUGGACAACUGUUCAGAUGACACUGGAAUUUGUAUGGGAUGCAAGGUAGCAAACUCUGAUCCUGUACAGGCACAGUACUUAAUGUCUUUUUAAGCUCUAUCUUAGUUUGCCUCUAAGAACCUGCUGAAAAGGUAGGAUCAGACCCAGAGUACUUAGCAUCUUGCAAAAAAAUUCCAAGCAGCCUGUUGUCCUUACAAAAUACUCACUGUUUGCGUAAGGGAGGGCAGGAUUGGGUAUCUCUGCUUCUGAUGAGCUGAGUACUGAUAGCAAAGGAAUGAUCAGCCUGCUUUUCCCUUGCCUUCUAAUGGUGUUCUCCAAAGCAUUUGCUAUCAGCUGCUGUUAGAAAAAAAUAAUGGUGGAAUAGAUUCCUAGCCUGGGCUGUCAGGUUAUUUAUGACUUCUUCCCUUCACGUCAGUGCCAGGUUUGCUUGCUAUGAAGUGUUUAUGUAGUGGAUAGUGUAUUUAUAAGAAGCACUCAGCUUGCUGUCAAGUAUUUUGGUUGAACUCCUAUGGGUGUUCAAGAUAUAUAUAUAUAUCUAUUUCAUUUAUUUCAAUGCAAGUUCUGGUCUUGCCCAUUAAUUAACACUUGGCCCCAAACGAAUACAGGACUUCUGAGUAUGGGAAGCUUUACUUCAGUUUUAAAUCAAAUUGCAUGCAUCUGGAGGAGCUGGUAAGAGAGAGAAGGUGAACACGUCACUAAUUUACGGGAUCAGGUGAUUUCUUUUCCUAUUUUUGCUUUGCUUUCCUGAUAAAUUUUCCUCCUUAACAUCUUGUAAUGGGAGUUCUUCUGAAUUAUUUCUGCUUAACUCCUCUUCUUCAGCAAAUACAAUGUUUAAAGUCGCUGAUCCUAAGGAUUAACUUCAUAUGAGUUGCAGGUGCUGUGAGUUGGCAACACUAAUUAAUAACAACAGAUCCAGUUGCCUUUGAAACAAAACAACAGUGCUGGGCAUGUGGUUAUUCAUUUUCCAGCAUACACAUUCUUCCACCUUCUCCGAACUCCGUUUAACACAGACUGCGCUGCUUGUUAAGUCCCAGUUCUAAAUCUAAAGCUGUGACAUAUUCUGGUAUUGCUUUCAGUUUUUAGUGGAAGCCCUGGUGAAGCUCAAGGCUCAGGAGAAGCAGUCAUGCACGGAACAGACCUUCCAUUACACAGUAUUGACAACAAAACUACAGCGGAGUUACUGUACAGAGGCUUGAAUGAGAGGGGUUACCAUGAGCAGCUGCAGCAACAGCACCAACAGAAGCAGCAGGCAUUGGACCCUCGAUUUCCUGUGCUGUGCUGAGCCUGUGCUGUGCCUGGGGUCUCCUGGGUCGUAGACAUCUGCCGUUUGCGCAUCUCCAUCCGCUCUGAUCCCAUGGGCUGCAAGACAGCGAGAGGAGGAGGAAGAAACCUUUUUGGAGCUUGAAUUCUGCAGGUUGUGCAGAGAAGUGGUGUUAAUGAAAUGACAAGUCCCCUUGAAGUUCCUGUCCCUUCCUGAGCUAUCUCUCUCUGAGCUUCAGACUUGCUCUACAGCACUUCAUCAUGCUCUCCCUAUUAUGCUGAGGCUAGUAUCGUAUCGAAGUGACAGAUGUCUUUUACACAUGAAAUGCCAGCUUGUACAAAGAUGAGUAUGUCUGUCUUCAUUUUGAUUGUAUUUGAUUUUUGGAUACAUAACUAAUCAUCCUCCUAUGUCAUGAGAUCCCUUUGUGUGUAGUUUUUUUUCAGGUUGCUAAACCUUCUUUUGAGGCCAUGACAACUGUAGGGGAACUAGCUGCUGCUAAUUUUGAGUUCUUUUUUUAAUUGAUAAUCAAUCGAAUACUAGACUUGAAACAUAAUCUGAUGAAAUGAAUACUGGAGGGUUAAAAGUUGCCUUCCUUUCUAAAAUGUUCAGCCAGGUUUAGGAAAUGCUAUUGUUAUAAUUUGAGGGAGAAUGCACAGAAGUUGUCAUGGACUUGAAAGAAGUGUCAGGAGGAGAAAGGAGAUUAUUGCAGCAGAGUGCAGCAUUAAAUUUUGCUGGAUUUUUUUUUAAUGUUGAAUUUGUUUCUUUCUUAUACAGAUUAAUAGUUUUCAGUUUGGUGGGAACCACCCACUCUCCCGAGAGAAAAAUGCAUGACAUGCUGAGCAGAAGAUGCACCUGUUUUGCAGGAGGAAUAUAAGAACAAAAUACAGAUAGAAAUUAUAACUCAUUUUGUAACUCUGUAGACCUAAUCUGACAAGCAAUGCCUACAUGCCCAGAAAUAGAAAAUCAGGAAAAGAACACAGCUUCCAAAAACCCCACAACCUUUCUUGUUUCAAAAUGUGGAAGAAUAAACAUGAGAUGUACAAUACAUUUGUAGAUGCAGAUUUCUUCAGAGUUUCAGAUUCACAGGAAGAGAAUGAAGCCCUAACUAUUAAUUUCCUUCCAGGUACCUAUACUUUUUUUAAAUAGAGCAUCUUCAUACUUCAAUUAGAAAGUCAUAGUAUAUAAAGCAUUAUUGGAAUGAUAAUUUAUCUAACAAUAUUUCAGGUUGCUUUGGACAGUGAGCAAUUAUUACUCAUUUGAAAAGUGUAACUUGGUUUCAGAUGUGUGGUUUAUGUACCCUAAUCCAUCCGCUCUUACUUUUGAGAUGUGUUAUGUGGAUAGUUCACACAUAUCUCUAGUCCAUAUUACAGUUGAACUGAUGGUGGCCUGAGUAGAGAGCUUGGUUCCUGUUGUUUGCUUUUUUCCAAGGAGAACAGUAAAGGACAGCAGAAGUAGGAAGAAUACACUCUUCCUCCCCACCUCAUCCCACCGUGAUUUAAUUCAAGAGAUCCUUCUGGAUGCAUUGUUACAAUUUCAGGUUCUUCAGUAUUGUUCUUUGACAUCUUUAAUGAAAGGGAAGAGUAUGUAAGCAGCUGUAUGGCAAAAACUGCCCAGCAGCAUUGUGUCUUUGUUUCACUUUGAACCAUACACCUUACUUAGUUUUCUGGUACUAUAGGCUUUUAUGAAUGUUCAUCAUUGCAUUUUCAUUUUUAUUUGGCAGAUGUAUGCCAACUUUCUCAUUGAAUAGCCAAGUAGGUUAUGGUCAUUUGCGAUGAAUAUUUUUUUGAAGAUAUUUUUAGCAGACAAAGCAUGCUUUAAUGAUGGCAAAGCUGUAUUGGAGUAAUGGGAGAUAAGAGAAAGAGGACUGGAAUAUACCUGUUGGCUUAAAGACAGCCCAGACUUUUGAAUUGGAGCUGUUUAGUGAUUAUCAUGCACGUAUUCCCUGUGGCCGUGGACAGACACUUUGUACAUUUGAAAGAAGUGGAUCACAAACUAAUUUGGAUGUGACUUUCUGUGGUGUAUCAGCAGGAAUAUUGUGGUUAGAUACAAGAAGGAAUUUACUCCUCUGUGGAAGUACUACGGGUAUCACUGUCCUGGUUUUGGCUGGCAUAGAGUUAAUUUUCUUCUUGGUAGCUGGUGCUGUGUUUUGGAUUUGGUGUGAGAACAAUGCUGAUAACACACGGAUGGUUUUUGUUGUUGCUGGGUAAUGUUUACACUAAGUCAAACACUUUUCAGUCUCUCAGGCCCUGCCAGCCAGAGGGCUGGAGGGGCACAGGAACUUGGGAGGCGACACAGCCAGGACAGCUGGCCCCAACUGGCCGAAGGGAUAUUCCAUACUAUGGGAUGUCAUGCUGAGUGUAUGAACUGGGGGGAAAGCUGGCCCAGGGCUGCUGAUCUCUGCUCAGGGACUGGCUGGGCAUCGGUCAGUGAGUGGUGAGCAGCUGGAUUUUGCAUCACUUGGUUUUUUUUCUCGCUUCCCUUUGGAUUUUAUUUCUCUCCCCUUCUCCCUCCUUUUAAUUAUAAUUGUUGUUGUUGUUGUUGUUAUUAUUAUUAUUAUUGUUUUGGGUUUUCCCCCUCCUAUUUUAUUUUCCUAAAUUGUUCUUAUCUCAACUCUCGAGUUUACAUUCCUUUUCAUUUCUCCUCCCCGUCCCUUGUGGAGGGGGCAGGGAGGAGGGGAGUGGGCAUCUGUGUGGUACUUAAUUCUGGCUGGGGUUAAACCACGACAAUCACAUUCCAAGAAAGAUAAAGCAUCUAUCUAAAACCCUAACAGGAUGUUUAGAAAGCAUGACUUCCACAGAAAAAAAUUGUAGAAGUUUGGCUUGUUAAUCUAGAAAGGGGAACUGAGAAGCACAUUGAUCUUCUGAUCAGUAAAACUUACGAUGUUCUAUUGUUCUCUAUUUCUUUCAGAGAUAAAUGAUGAGUUAGCUUGGGCUAAAUAAAAACCUAAGCUUGAUUUUACAGGGUAGCAAGGUAGAGAGUGAGCAGUGGUGCAGGUUAUUACGAAGUUGUAGAAACUCCUUUGGCACAGAUAUUAUUAAGACCCAUAAGACAAAAACAUAGCAGGCUGGUCCAGGUUCACAGAACAAGUAAUGAGUAAGUGAUCCAUUGCAGCAGUGUUUUUCUAACUUCAUUCUUCCGUGCUUUUUAAAAAAUUUUUUUUAAUGUAGCUCUGGCUCUAAACCAAACUAUCGUCAAGCACGUUCUAUAUACCUUUCUAUCUGGAUCAGUUCCUUUUAGCCACAUAAAAAUGAUUAAUCUGCAGGAGAAGUGGAUGUCUUGCAUUAAAAGUCUGGUUUUGUAGUUCAUCCUCUAACAGAAUUGCAAAAUGAAGUUAAAAUGUUCAUGUUCGCAGCACAGUUUUUUGCAAACGUAUAUCCCAUUCGUGAUUGUACUGAGAUUGUGUAAUGCCAGACAUGAGGCCUGAAUGCACAGUAAGACAUAGGCUCUGUCUUUUGUAUGUAUAUUCACGGACAUACACUGGCUUUCCA